rnacentral:piRNA from 1 species
UAGGAAGAAGAAUCGGGCUGUAUU